GACGAACGCUGGCGGCGCGCUUAACACAUGCAAGUCGAACGGAAAGGCCUGCUUUCCCUUGUGGAUUGCGGGUACUCGAGUGGCGAACGGGUGAGUAACACGUGAGUGAUCUGCCCCCAACUUGGGUAUAAGCCUGGGAAACUGGGUCUAAUUCCCGAUAGGACUGCAGGGUGGUGCCUGUGGUGGAAAACGAUUUUCUAGUGGUUGGGGAUGAGCUCGCGGCCUAUCAGCUUGUUGGUGGGGUAAUGGCCUACCAAGGCGGCGACGGGUAGCCGGCCUGAGAGGGUGGACGGCAACAUUGGGACUGAGAUACGGCCCAGACUCCUACGGGAGGCAGCAGUGGGGAAUAUGGCACAAUGGGCGGAAGCCUGAUGCAGCGACGCCGCGUGGGGGAUGACGGCCUUCGGGUUGUAAACUCCUUUCGACCGCGAGGAAGCCACCUGGUUGGAAGGGUGGUGACGGUAGUGGUAGAAGAAGCACCGGCUAACUACGUG
rnacentral:rRNA from 1 species